GCUGGGCGUGGUGGUGCAUGCCUGUAAUCCUAGUGACUUUGAAGGCUGAGGCAGGAGGAUUUCAAGUUUGAGCCCAGUCUCAGCAACUUAGCAAGGCCCUAAGCAACAUAGUGAGACACUGUCUUAA
rnacentral:sRNA from 1 species